rnacentral:rRNA from 1 species
AUUGAACGCUGGCGGCAGGCCUAACACAUGCAAGUCGAGCGAGCGGCGGACGGGUGAGUAAUGUAUGGGGACUGCCCGAUCGAGGGGGAUACCUACUGGAAACGGUGGCUAAUACCGCCAACUAUCGACUAACCCCUAUGGGAUUAGCUAGUAGGUGGGGUAAAGGCUCACCUAGGCGACGAUCUCUAGCUGGUCGGAGAGGAUGAUCAGCAACACUGUGACUGAUACACGGCCCAGACUCCUUCGGAGGCAGCCGUGGGGAUUAGUGCACAAUGGGCGCAAUCCUGAUGCAGCCAUGCCGCGUGUAUGAAGAAGGCCUUAGGGUUGUAAAGUACUUUCAGCGGGGAGGCGUUACCCGCAGAAGAAGCACCGGCUAACUCCGUGCCAGCAGCCGCGGUAAUAC